UUUUGGAAAUUUUUGGGGCUAUCCAAUCUAAUACUUACUUAUCAAUCUUUACAUAUAUUUGUUUCUCCAGAAACAGGAUUAAGUUUGCCAUUGCCCAUGCCGCUUUUAGUUUGAAUAAAAUGCAAUUUGAAGUAUUUUUUUCAUUUUUUAAAAGUUGGGGUCCGCAAGGACCCCCGCAUGUGUUAGUGUAUAAUUUAAUAGGUUAUGUGUUUAAGGGUUAAAUAUAUCCAAGGGAUUUUUUGCCACGUACAGAAACCACGCAAUUUCACUGUCUUCAUAGCAGGGGGGGUGGUCGAGAGGGGUGAAGCCCCCCCACCCCAUUAGAAGGCUAUGUAAAGUUAGGUUGGAGUAGUUUAAAUAUAUUGGACACACGGUGUAAGCUGUCAGAAAUAUGCAGCGCGGGACGUGUAACUGCAGUCAGUUGAUUGUUAAGGAAAGUCCCGCCUGUCUGAUGUGGUUUCUAGUUUUAUGGAUCAAACCUGUCAGUAUGAAGUACAUGUAACCAUCACACUCCGAGAAUCAUCUAUUUUCAUCACUGCGUUUAUACAUCAGUGAUAACUGAUUACUGUCCAGUCGAGUACAAAAGACAAUACACGGAUCAGUAUAACACAUUAUAAUACACCGCCAGGUGUCCGACUGCUUGACAUACAUGCAAGUACAACAUGUGGAGCACUAUAACACGUAAGAACACAACUUCAACGGACCUUACACCGUCAGGGUCUAUAAACACCUCGGGCUCUCGGUCGUUCGUCUGCCUCGACGUUUUCCCUGCACCAACCUCCUUAACCGUCUGCCCUUUGCCUUCGUACUCACCUCCCUCCUGUGUGGGACACACUCAUGGCUCUGAACAAGGACGCCUUCAGACAACUGUAGGCCGGCCUGAUGGACUUGGUGACCUCUCUGACCGUACUGUCAUAACAUUCCCGACGAUAAAUGGCCUUUGCGAUAGUAAACCUCUCCCUUAUUCCUUCCUCUCCACUCUUCCACCUCUCUCCUCAUCUCUCUCCACUUCUCACCCUCUCUCAUUUUCCUCUAUUUCCUCACAUCGCCAAACGGCGAUAACAGGACGGGAAGUUUCCGUAAACUUUCGGGAGUAGGGAAUUUUCCCCAUUUUAGGGAGGGGGAGGCGGACCUCUUGUAAAGAAUUACCUGCAUUAGUUUAGUUUAGGUUAUGACACGUUAGAUUAGAUACCUAACCUGUCCGCUGCGAUUGGCACGGAUUUUUCCUUCACUGGUAGCCUGGUAACCUGUACUACCAGGUCUUUCUCUGCCUCUGUGGUGGAUAGUGGAGUGUUUCCCAUGUGGUAUUGGUGUGCUGGAUAUCCCUUCACUGGUAGCCUGGUAACAUAUACUCCCAGGUCUUUCUCUGGCUCUGUGGUGGAUAGUGGAGUGUUUCCCAUGUGGUAUUGGUGUGCUGGAUAUCCCUUCACUGGUAGCCUGGUAACAUACACUCCCAGGUCUUUCUCUGCCUCUGUGGUGGAUAGUGGAGUGUUUCCCAUGUGGUAUUGGUGUGCUGGAUAUCCCUUCACUGGUAGCCUGGUAACAUAUACUCCCAGGUCUUUCUCUGCCUCUGUGGUGGAUAGUGGAGUGUUUCCCAUGUGGUAUUGGUGUGCUGGAUAUCCCUUCACUGGUAGCCUGGUAACAUACACUCCCAGGUCUUUCUCUGCCUCUGUGGUGGAUAGUGGAGUGUUUCCCAUGUGGUAUUGGUGUGCUGGAUAUCCCUUCACUGGUAGCCUGGUAACAUACACUCCCAGGUCUUUCUCUGCCUCUGUGGUGGAUAGUGGAGUGUUUCCCAUGUGGUAUUGGUGUGCUGGAUAUCCCCUCCCAAGGUGCAGGACUUUACAUUUUUCUUCUGUGAAUUGUAGCAGCCACUUUUUGUUUCACUCCUGCAGCUUUGUGAUGUAUUCUUGUAGGAAGUCAACAGUCAAGGGGUUAUGAACACCCAAAUUCUUUAUUUUUUCUGAGGCAA